AGCGAACGCUGGCGGCAGGCUUAACACAUGCAAGUCGAGCGGGCGUAGCAAUACGUCAGCGGCAGACGGGUGAGUAACGCGUGGGAACGUACCUUUUGGUUCGGAACAACACAGGGAAACUUGUGCUAAUACCGGAUAAGCCCUUACGGGGAAAGAUUUAUCGCCGAAAGAUCGCCCCGCGUCUGAUUAGCUAGUUGGUGAGGUAACGGCUCACCAAGGCGACGAUCAGUAGCUGGUCUGAGAGGAUGAUCAGCCACAUUGGGACUGAGACACGGCCCAAACUCCUACGGGAGGCAGCAGUGGGGAAUAUUGGACAAUGGGGGCAACCCUGAUCCAGCCAUGCCGCGUGAGUGAUGAAGGCCCUAGGGUUGUAAAGCUCUUUUGUGCGGGAAGAUAAUGACGGUACCGCAAGAAUAAGCCCCGGCUAACUUCGUG
rnacentral:rRNA from 1 species